GAGAAGCUUGCUUCUCUUGAGAGCGGCGGACGGGUGAGUAAUGCCUAGGAAUCUGCCUGGUAGUGGGGGAUAACGUUCGGAAACGAACGCUAAUACCGCAUACGUCCUACGGGAGAAAGCAGGGGACCUUCGGGCCUUGCGCUAUCAGAUGAGCCUAGGUCGGAUUAGCUAGUUGGUGAGGUAAUGGCUCACCAAGGCGACGAUCCGUAACUGGUCUGAGAGGAUGAUCAGUCACACUGGAACUGAGACACGGUCCAGACUCCUACGGGAGGCAGCAGUGGGGAAUAUUGGACAAUGGGCGAAAGCCUGAUCCAGCCAUGCCGCGUGUGUGAAGAAGGUCUUCGGAUUGUAAAGCACUUUAAGUUGGGAGGAAGGGCAUUAACCUAAUACGUUAGUGUUUUGACGUUACCGACAGAAUAAGCACCGGCUAACUCUGUGCCAGCAGCCGCGGUAAUACAGAGGGUGCAAGCGUUAAUCGGAAUUACUGGGCGUAAAGCGCGCGUAGGUGGUUUGUUAAGUUGGAUGUGAAAUCCCCGGGCUCAACCUGGGAACUGCAUUCAAAACUGACUGACUAGAGUAUGGUAGAGGGUGGUGGAAUUUCCUGUGUAGCGGUGAAAUGCGUAGAUAUAGGAAGGAACACCAGUGGCGAAGG
rnacentral:rRNA from 1 species